UACGUAGGGUCCGAGCGUUGUCCGGAAUUAUUGGGCGUAAAGAGCUCGUAGGCGGUUUGUCGCGUCUGCUGUGAAAACCCGCAGCUCAACUGUGGGCUUGCAGCUGAUACGGGCAGGCUUGAGUUCGGUAGGGGAGACUGGAAUUCCUGGUGUAGCGGUGAAAUGCGCAGAUAUCAGGAGGAACACCAGUGGCGAAGGCGAGUCCCUGGACAACUCCUGACACUGAGGCACGAAAGCUAGGGGAGCAAACAGG
rnacentral:rRNA from 1 species